rnacentral:lncRNA from 1 species
GUGAAACUAUAAUUUUUGAAGCAGAUAAUACCUCAGAAAAGUAGUGAUUUACCUUAACGAUGUCUUGAUGGACUUGAGAUCGGAACAUUACUACAGUAAACACACUUAUUACCGACGAUCAUUUACCGACGACUUGUAGUCCUUCGGUAAUGAAUUGGUGACAUAAUUUACCGAGGGUUGUUGGCCCUUAGUAAUGUUCACGAUGGAUUUAAGUAAAAAAUUUGGGUUUCCUUCCCCAAAUUUCAGAAAUCCCCCACCCCUAAUUUCAAAAAUCCCCUACCCUCGUCUUGCUCGCACUUUCCCUAAGCCAAAUAUCAGAAGUUGCAUGGGUUUUGGGAGUACCAAUUUGCUUGCCAUAAGGCAUUCUCAUGUAACUGUUCUGUUUGACGGUGAGGUGUGUUCGUUGAUGGCUGUUGGUUUGCGAUUUGGGUGGCUAGCCUUCGUGGUGUUUGCAGCAAGGUGGUGGGUCGUUGUAGAUGGCGUUUGCGGCAGUGGUGGUGGGUCGUGGAGGUUGGCUUGAUGAAGAUGUUGGGGUGAAGUGGGGUUGUUAAGUUCGUAGGGGUGGUGGUCUGCAGAGUGUGGCAUCGUCAAGCAUUUGGCUAUCGAGGUAAGUUGAUUCCCCUGUUCUUUCUGGUGAGUUUAAUAAUGGAAACUGUAAAUUGAUGAUGAUGAUUAGAAGCUUCCCAAGCCUAUGGUAGUGUUGUUCUGUCACGUUGAGAGCUACACAUUGAAUCCAAGAUACAUGAGAGGAGAGUGCACACAGUUUUUCCUAGUUGCAAACUUGAUAUAGAAUGCCUGCUGUUUGAUGAUGGUGACUGUGAUUAUGUGGAACUGACUUGAAUUUUGAUAAUUUGGACUGAUUUUUUGCUUUUCAU